UCACGAUAGAUGGAGCAGAUAGAUGG
rnacentral:piRNA from 1 species